GACAGAGGGUGCAAACGUUGCUCGGAAUCACUGGGCGUAAAGGGCGCGUAGGCGGGGAUGUAAGUCGGGCGUGAAAUCCCCAGGCUCAACCUGGGAACUGCACUCGAAACUGCGUUUCUUGAGUAUCGGAGAGGAAAGCGGAAUUCCUGGUGUAGAGGUGAAAUUCGUAGAUAUCAGGAGGAACACCAGUGGCGAAGGCGGACUUUCGUGGACGGUAACUGACGCUG
rnacentral:rRNA from 1 species